rnacentral:tRNA from 1 species
GCCACAAUAGCUCAGUCGGUAGAGCAACGCAUUCGUAACGCGUAGGUCACGGGUUCGAGUCCCGUUCGUGGCU